rnacentral:lncRNA from 1 species
GGAUAACGACGUUAAUAGUGAUAAAGACGCUUAUCACGAAGACGAAGAAGAAGGUAAAGACGUUACCGACGACGAUAGUAAUCAUGAUGACAAUAGGGAAGAUAAAAGAACGACGGAUUUAUUUACGAGGAAUAGAUC